rnacentral:rRNA from 1 species
CGAGGAACCUUACCUAGGCUAGAAUGCGCGUGACCGCCCCAGAGAUGGGGCUUCCCUUCGGGGCACAAAGCAAGGUGCUGCAUGGCCGUCGUCAGCUCGUGCCGUGAGGUGUUGGGUUAAGUCCCGCAACGAGCGCAACCCCUAUCUUCAGUUGCCAGCACAUCAUGGUGGGGACUCUGGAGAGACUGCCUCCGCAAGGAGCGAGGAAGGCGGGGACGACGUCAGGUCAUCAUGGCCCUUACGCCUAGGGCUACACACGUGCUACAAUGGCGCAUACAGAGGGUCGCUACCCGGUGACGGGGUGCCAAUCUCAAAAAGUGCGUCUCAGUUCGGAUCGGAGUCUGCAACUCGACUCCGUGAAGCCGGAAUCGCUAGUAAUCGCGUAUCAGCAACGACGCGGUGAAUACGUUCCCGGGCCUUGUACACACCGCCCGUCAAGCCAUGGAAGUCAGGGAGACCUGAAGCCGGUGACCGUCAAAGGAGCCGUCUAGGGUAAAACUGGUAACUGGGGCU